GGUCAGUGAUGUCAUGGCAUGUAUUACCUGAAUGCUAACAUGAUGCAAAUACUCAAGUGAUGAUACUGAGACCUU
rnacentral:snoRNA from 1 species